CCUACGGGAGGCAGCAGUGAGGAAUAUUGGUCAAUGGGCGAGAGCCUGAACCAGCCAAGUCGCGUGAGGGAGUACUGCCCUAUGGGUUGUAAACCUCUUUUGUCGGGGAGCAAAAGCCGGACGUGUCCGGCUGUGAGAGUACCCGAAGAAAAAGCAUCGGCUAACUCCGUGCCAGCAGCCGCGGUAAUACGGAGGAUGCGAGCGUUAUCCGGAUUUAUGGGGUUUAAAGGGUGCGCAGGCGGAUUUUUAAGUCAGCGGUCAAAUCGUGGGGCUUAACCCCAUCCAGCCGUUGAAACUGGGGAUCUAGAGUGUGCGUGAGGUAUGCGGAAUGCGUGGUGUAGCGGUGAAAUGCAUAGAUAUCACGCAGAACCCCGAUUGCGAAGGCAGCAUACCGGUGCACAACUGACGCUCAGGCACGAAAGCGUGGGUAUCGAACAGGAUUAGAUACCCUUGUAGUC
rnacentral:rRNA from 1 species